rnacentral:lncRNA from 1 species
CGGCCGCGCGCCCAUCAAGGCCGAGCGCGCCGCGCAGGCGCACGGCCCGGCCGCCGCCGCCGUCGCCGCCCGCGGCGCAUCCAGGACCUUCUUCCCCCAACAGAGGUCCCAAAGCGAAAAACAGACCUAUUUGGAAGAGAUGCAUUUAGAAGAUACUACCAGAUUCUGUCCCAAAGAAGAAAGAGAAAGUGAACAAACAUCUUUCAGCGAUCAAAAUCCCAGGCAAGACCAGAAGGGGGGCUUUCGCAGCUCCUUCCGCAAGCUCUUUAAAAAGAAAAAUGGGAACGCAACUGGUGAAGAUUUCUGUGGUCCUUGGGGCUGGUGGUGACAUCAAAGCUUUCCUAUUUUCAGAUUUUAGGUCCAGUGGAUCAGAAUACAGGGAAAAAACUAAUGAGAAUCCCUCAAUGGAUCCUUCACCCACCAAACAAGAUUUCUUCAGAAACCGACUUGCUCUUGCAAAUGACCUUGACCAAGGAACAGCUGUGUAAAACAUACUUAAAGUUGUAUUGUCAAG